rnacentral:rRNA from 1 species
UGGGGAAUAUUGGACAAUGGGGGCAACCCUGAUCCAGCCAUGCCGCGUGAGUGAUGAAGGCCUUCGGGUUGUAAAGCUCUUUUGGCGGGGACGAUGAUGACGGUACCCGCAGAAUAAGCCCCGGCUAACUUCGUGCCAGCAGCCGCGGUAAGACGAAGGGGGCUAGCGUUGUUCGGAAUUACUGGGCGUAAAGCGAGUGUAGGCGGUUGCCGUAGUCAGGUGUGAAAGCCUUGAGCUCAACUCAAGAAAUGCACUUGAUACUGGGUGACUAGAGGACCGGAGAGGAUAGUGGAAUUCCCAGUGUAGUGGUGAAAUACGUAGAGAUUGGGAAGAACACCAGUGGCGAAGGCGGCUAUCUGGACGGUUACUGACGCUAAGACUCGAAAGCGUGGGGAGCAAACAGGAUUAGAUACCCUGGUAGUCCACGCCGUAAACGAUGGGUGCUAGACGUUGGCGAGCUUGCUCGUCAGUGUCGCAGCUAACGCGUUAAGCACCCCGCCUGGGGAGUACGGCCGCAAGGUUGAAACUCAAAUGAAUUGCGGGGGUCAUAGCUG